CGGUAAUACGUAGGAUGGCAAGCGUGAUCCCGGAUUUAUUGGGCGUAAAGCGAGCGCAGGCGGUUUUUUAAGUCUGAUGUGAAAGCCCUCGGCUUAACCGAGGAAGCGCAUCGGAAACUGGGAAACUUGAGUGCAGAAGAGGACAGUGGAACUCCAUGUGUAGCGGUGAAAUGCGUAGAUAUAUGGAAGAACACCAGUGGCGAAGGCGGCUGUCUGGUCUGUAACUGACGCUGAGGCUCGAAAGCAUGGGUAGCGAACAGGAUUAGAUACCCUGGUAGUCCAUGCCGUAAACGAUGAAUGCUAGGUGUUGGAGGGUUUCCGCCCUUCAGUGCCGCAGCUAACGCAUUAAGCAUUCCGCCUGGGGAGUACGACCGCAAGGUUGAAACUCAAAGGAAUUGACGGGGGCCCGCACAAGCGGUGGAGCAUGUGGUUUAAUUCGAAGCAACGCGAAGAACCUUACCAGGUCUUGACAUCUUUUGAUCACCUGAGAGAUCAGGUUUCCCCUUCGGGGGCAAAAUGACAGGUGGUGCAUGGUUGUCGUCAGCUCGUGUCGUGAGAUGUUGGGUUAAGUCCCGCAACGAGCGCAACCCUUAUGACUAGUUGCCAGCAUUUAGUUGGGCACUCUAGUAAGACUGCCGGUGACAAACCGGAGGAAGGUGGGGAUGACGUCAAAUCAUCAUGCCCCUUAUGACCUGGGCUACACACGUGCUACAAUGGAUGGUACAACGAGUUGCGAGACCGCGAGGUCAAGCUAAUCUCUUAAAGCCAUUCUCAGUUCGGACUGUAGGCUGCAACUCGCCUACACGAAGUCGGAAUCGCUAGUAAUCGCGGAUCAGCACGCCGCGGUGAAUACGUUCCCGGGCCUUGUACACACCGCCCGUCACACCAUGAGAGUUUGUAACACCCGAAGCCGGUGGCGUAACC
rnacentral:rRNA from 2 species